AAAUUGAAGAGUUUGAUCAUGGCUCAGAUUGAACGCUGGCGGCAGGCCUAACACAUGCAAGUCGAGCGGUAGCACAGAGAGCUUGCUCUCGGGUGACGAGCGGCGGACGGGUGAGUAAUGUCUGGGAAACUGCCUGAUGGAGGGGGAUAACUACUGGAAACGGUAGCUAAUACCGCAUAACGUCGCAAGACCAAAGUGGGGGACCUUCGGGCCUCAUGCCAUCAGAUGUGCCCAGAUGGGAUUAGCUAGUAGGUGGGGUAAUGGCUCACCUAGGCGACGAUCCCUAGCUGGUCUGAGAGGAUGACCAGCCACACUGGAACUGAGACACGGUCCAGACUCCUACGGGAGGCAGCAGUGGGGAAUAUUGCACAAUGGGCGCAAGCCUGAUGCAGCCAUGCCGCGUGUGUGAAGAAGGCCUUCGGGUUGUAAAGCACUUUCAGCGGGGAGGAAGGCGAUAAGGUUAAUAACCUUGUCGAUUGACGUUACCCGCAGAAGAAGCACCGGCUAACUCCGUGCCAGCAGCCGCGGUAAUACGGAGGGUGCAAGCGUUAAUCGGAAUUACUGGGCGUAAAGCGCACGCAGGCGGUCUGUCAAGUCGGAUGUGAAAUCCCCGGGCUUAACCUGGGAACUGCAUUCGAAACUGGCAGGCUAGAGUCUUGUAGAGGGGGGUAGAAUUCCAGGUGUAGCGGUGAAAUGCGUAGAGAUCUGGAGGAAUACCGGUGGCGAAGGCGGCCCCCUGGACAAAGACUGACGCUCAGGUGCGAAAGCGUGGGGAGCAAACAGGAUUAGAUACCCUGGUAGUCCACGCCGUAAACGAUGUCGAUUUGGAGGUUGUGCCCUUGAGGCGUGGCUUCCGGAGCUAACGCGUUAAAUCGACCGCCUGGGGAGUACGGCCGCAAGGUUAAAACUCAAAUGAAUUGACGGGGGCCCGCACAAGCGGUGGAGCAUGUGGUUUAAUUCGAUGCAACGCGAAGAACCUUACCUGGUCUUGACAUCCACAGAACUUUCCAGAGAUGGAUUGGUGCCUUCGGGAACUGUGAGACAGGUGCUGCAUGGCUGUCGUCAGCUCGUGUUGUGAAAUGUUGGGUUAAGUCCCGCAACGAGCGCAACCCUUAUCCUUUGUUGCCAGCGGUCCGGCCGGGAACUCAAAGGAGACUGCCAGUGAUAAACUGGAGGAAGGUGGGGAUGACGUCAAGUCAUCAUGGCCCUUACGACCGGGCUACACACGUGCUACAAUGGCAUAUACAAAGAGAAGCGACCUCGCGAGAGCAAGCGGACCUCAUAAAGUAUGUCGUAGUCCGGAUUGAGUCUGCAACUCGACUCCAUGAAGUCGGAAUCGCUAGUAAUCGUAGAUCAGAAUGCUACGGUGAAUACGUUCCCGGGCCUUGUACACACCGCCCGUCACACCAUGGGAGUGGGUUGCAAAAGAAGUAGGUAGCUUAACCUUCGGGAGGGCGCUUACCACUUUGUGAUUCAUGACUGGGGUGAAGUCGUAACAAGGUAACCGUAGGGGAACCUGCGGUUGGAUCACCUCCUUACCUUAAAGAA
rnacentral:rRNA from 1 species